rnacentral:rRNA from 1 species
GAUGAACGCUAGCUACAGGCUUAACACAUGCAAGUCGAGGGGUAACAAGAGGAAAGCUUGCUUUUCUUGUUGACGACCGGCGCACGGGUGAGUAACGCGUAUCCAACCUGCCUAUAACUAGGGAAUAACCUUGCGAAAGUAAGACUAAUACCCUAUGAUUUCCUUUGAUGACAUCAGAUUAGGAAUAAAGAUUUAUCGGUUAUAGAUGGGGAUGCGUCUGAUUAGCUUGUUGGCGGGGUAACGGCCCACCAAGGCAACGAUCAGUAGGGGUUCUGAGAGUAAGGUCCCCCACAUUGGAACUGAGACACGGUCCAAACUCCUACGGGAGUCAGCAGUGAGGAAUAUUGGUCAAUGGGCGGAAGCCUGAACCAGCCAAGUAGCGUGCAGGAUGACGGCCCUAUGGGUUGUAAACUUCUUUUAUUCGGGAAUAAAGUGCGCCACGUGUGGUGUUUUGUAUGUACCGAACGAAUAAGCAUCGGCAAGCUCCGUGCCAGCCGCCGAAGUAA